rnacentral:rRNA from 1 species
AGGAUGAACGCUGGCGGCGUGCCUAACACAUGCAAGUCGAACGUCCUGUCUCGCAAGAGGCAGGGAGUGGCGGACGGGUGAGUACCACGUGGGUCAUCUACCGUGAGGUGAGGAAUACCGGCGAGAAAUCGCCGACAAGACCGCAUAGGCUCGAUGCAAGUCGAGCAAAGCUCUUUCGAGAGAGGGAGCGCCACACGAGGAGCCUGCGCCCGAUUAGCUAGCUGGUGGAGUAACGGUUCACCAGGGCGACGAUCGGUAGCUGGUCUGAGAGGACGAUCAGCCACACUGGGAUUGAGAACGGCCCAGACUCCUACGGGGGGCAGCAGUGAGGAAUUUUCGUCAAUGGGGGCAACCCUGAACGAGCAACGCCGCGUGCAGGAAGAAGGUUUCGGAUCGUAAACUGCUUUUCUCGGGGAAGAGAAUGGACGGUACCCGAGGAAUCAGCCCGGCUAACUACGCGCCAGCAGCCGCGGU